UACGAGGGGGGCGAGCGCUGUUCGGAAUUAUUGGGCGUAAAGGGUGCGUAGGCGGUUUGGUAAGUCUUAUGUGAAAUCUACAGGCUCAACUUGUAGUCUGCAUGAGAAACUGCCGGGCUUGAGUAUGGGAGAGGUGAGUGGAAUUCCUGGUGUAGCGGUGAAAUGCGUAGAUAUCAGGAGGAACACCUGUGGCGAAAGCGGCUCACUGGACCAUAACUGACGCUGAUGCACGAAAGCUAGGGGAGCAAACAGG
rnacentral:rRNA from 1 species